UACGUAGGUGACCAGCGUUGUCCGGAUUUACUGGGCGUAAAGAGCGCGCAGGCGGUCGUUCAAGUCGAGUGUGAAAGCCCCCGGCUCAACUGGGGAGGGUCAUUCGAUACUGAUCGACUGGAAGGCAGGAGAGGGAAGCGGAAUUCCCGGUGUAGUGGUGAAAUUCGUAGAGAUCGGGUGGAACACCAGUGGCGAAGGCGCCUAUCUGGCUGACAACUGACGCUGAGACUCGAAAGCAUGGGGAGCAAACAGG
rnacentral:rRNA from 1 species